rnacentral:rRNA from 1 species
UGCCACAGCCAUAUCGCCCUGCAGCCCAAGACUGGUUGCCCACUGAAGCUAAGCAGGGUUGAGCCUGGUUAGUACCUGGAUGGGAGACCUCCUGGGAAAACUAGGUUGCUGUUGGAA